rnacentral:rRNA from 1 species
AGGGUUUGAUCAUGGCUCAGGAUGAACGCUGGCGGCGUGCCUAAUACAUGCAAGUCGAACGAGGUGCUUUUGUAGCAAUACGAGAGUAUCCUAGUGGCGAACGGGUGAGUAACGCGUUGGUGACCUACCCCAAAGUGUGGGAUAACAGUCCGAAAGGAUUGCUAAUACCGCAUGUGGUUAUUGGAUUUAGAAACCGAUAACUAAAGGAGCAAUUCGCUUUGGGAGGGACCUGCGUCCCAUCAGCUAGUUGGUGAGGUAAUGGCUCACCAAGGCUACGACGGGUAGGGGACCUGAGAGGGUGACCCCCCACAAUGGAACUGAAACACGGUCCAUACACCUACGGGUGGCAGCAGUAGGGAAUAUUGCACAAUGGGCGAAAGCCUGAUGCAGCAACGCCGCGUGUGUGAUGAAGGCCUUCGGGUCGUAAAGCACUUUUCUGGGAGAUGAGAAAGGACAGUAUCCCAGGAAUAAGUCUCGGCUAACUACGUGCCAGCAGCCGCGGUAAACGUAGGAGGCAAGCGUUAUCCGGAUUCACUGGGCGUAAAGCGCGUGCAGGCGGUGCGGUAAGUUGGGCGUGAAAUCUCCCGGCUCAACUGGGAGAGGUCGUCCAAUACUACCGUACUAGAGAGCAGAAGAGGAAGAUGGAAUUCCCGGUGUAGUGGUGAAAUGCGUAGAUAUCGGGAGGAACACCAGUGGCGAAGGCGAUCUUCUGGUCUGUUUCUGACGCUCAGACGCGACAGCUAGGGUAGUAAACGGGAUUAGAGACCCCGGUAAUCCUAGCCGUAAACGAUGUGAACUUGGCGUUGGUGGGUUAAACUCCAUCAGUGCCGUAGCAAACGCGAUAAGUUCACCGCCUGGGGACUACGGCCGCAAGGUUAAAACUCAAAGGAAUUGACGGGGGCCCGCACAAGCAGCG